AUUGAACGCUGGCGGCAUGCUUUACACAUGCAAGUCGAACGGUAACAGGCCUUCGGGUGCUGACGAGUGGCGAACGGGUGAGUAAUGCAUCGGAACGCACCCAGAGGUGGGGGAUAACGCAGCGAAAGCUGUGCUAAUACCGCAUGUGAUCUGAGGAUGAAAGCGGGGGACCGAGCAGCAAUGUUUGGCCUCGCGCCUUUGGAGCGGCCGAUGUCGGAUUAGCUAGUUGGUGGGUAAAGGCCUACCAAGGCGACGAUCCGUAGCUGGUCUGAGAGGACGACCAGCCACACUGGGACUGAGACACGGCCCAGACUCCUACGGGAGGCAGCAGUGGGGAAUUUUGGACAAUGGGCGCAAGCCUGAUCCAGCAAUGCCGCGUGCGGGAAGAAGGCCUUCGGGUUGUAAACCGCUUUUGGCAGGAACGAAACGGUGUCCGCUAAUACCGGGCGCUAAUGACGGUACCUGCAGAAUAAGCACCGGCUAACUACGUG
rnacentral:rRNA from 1 species